rnacentral:rRNA from 1 species
GACGAACGCUGGCGGCGUGCCUAACACAUGCAAGUCGAACGAGAAUCGACGGAUUGAGACUUCGGUUGAUUGAAGUUGAGGAAAGUGGCGAACGGGUGAGUAACGCGUGAGAAACCUGCCUUUCAGUGGGGGACAACAGUUGGAAACGACUGCUAAUACCGCAUAACGUAUCGAGGGGGCAUCCUUUUGAUACCAAAGCUUUAUGUGCUGAAAGAUGGUCUCGCGUCUGAUUAGCUAGUUGGUGAGGUAACGGCUCACCAAGUCGACGAUCGGUAGCCGGACUGAGAGGUUGAACGGCCACAUUGGAACUGAGAUACGGUCCAGACUCCUACGGGAGGCAGCAGUGGGGAAUAUUGGGCAAUGGGCGAAAGCCUGACCCAGCGACGCCGCGUGAGGGAAGAAGAUCUUCGGAUUGUAAACCUUAGUCAACAGGGAAGAAGAAAGUGACGGUACCUGUGGAGGAAGCCACGGCUAACUACGUG